rnacentral:rRNA from 1 species
UGUGAGCUCGAUGAGUAGGGCGGGACACGUGGUAUCCUGUCUGAAUAUGGGGGGACCAUCCUCCAAGGCUAAAUACUCCUGACUGACCGAUAGUGAACCAGUACCGUGAGGGAAAGGCGAAAAGAACCCCGGCGAGGGGAGUGAAAAAGAACCUGAAACCGUGUACGUACAAGCAGUGGGAGCACGCUUCGGCGUGUGACUGCGUACCUUUUGUAUAAUGGGUCAGCGACUUAUAUUCUGUAGCAAGGUUAACCGAAUAGGGGAGCCGAAGGGAAACCGAGUCUUAACUGGGCGUUAAGUUGCAGGGUAUAGACCCGAAACCCGGUGAUCUAGCCAUGGGCAGGUUGAAGGUUGGGUAACACUAACUGGAGGACCGAACCGACUAAUGUUGAAAAAUUAGCGGAUGACUUGUGGCUGGGGGUGAAAGGCCAAUCAAACCGGGAGAUAGCUGGUUCUCCCCGAAAGCUAUUUAGGUAGCGCCUCGUGAAUUCAUCUCCGGGGGUAGAGCACUGUUUCGGCAAGGGGGUCAUCCCGACUUACCAACCCGAUGCAAACUGCGAAUACCGGAGAAUGUUAUCACGGGAGACACACGGCGGGUGCUAACGUCCGUCGUGAAGAGGGAAACAACCCAGACCGCCAGCUAAGGUCCCAAAGUCAUGGUUAAGUGGGAAACGAUGUGGGAAGGCCCAGACAGCCAGGAUGUUGGCUUAGAAGCAGCCAUCAUUUAAAGAAAGCGUAAUAGCUCACUGGUCGAGUCGGCCUGCGCGGAAGAUGUAACGGGGCUAAACCAUGCACCGAAGCUGCGGCAGCGACGCUUAUGCGUUGUUGGGUAGGGGAGCGUUCUGUAAGCCUGCGAAGGUGUGCUGUGAGGCAUGCUGGAGGUAUCAGAAGUGCGAAUGCUGACAUAAGUAACGAUAAAGCGGGUGAAAAGCCCGCUCGCCGGAAGACCAAGGGUUCCUGUCCAACGUUAAUCGGGGCAGGGUGAGUCGACCCCUAAGGCGAGGCCGAAAGGCGUAGUCGAUGGGAAACAGGUUAAUAUUCCUGUACUUGGUGUUACUGCGAAGGGGGGACGGAGAAGGCUAUGUUGGCCGGGCGACGGUUGUCCCGGUUUAAGCGUGUAGGCUGGUUUUCCAGGCAAAUCCGGAAAAUCAAGGCUGAGGCGUGAUGACGAGGCACUACGGUGCUGAAGCAACAAAUGCCCUGCUUCCAGGAAAAGCCUCUAAGCAUCAGGUAACAUCAAAUCGUACCCCAAACCGACACAGGUGGUCAGGUAGAGAAUACCAAGGCGCUUGAGAGAACUCGGGUGAAGGAACUAGGCAAAAUGGUGCCGUAACUUCGGGAGAAGGCACGCUGAUAUGUAGGUGAGGUCCCUCGCGGAUGGAGCUGAAAUCAGUCGAAGAUACCAGCUGGCUGCAACUGUUUAUUAAAAACACAGCACUGUGCAAACACGAAAGUGGACGUAUACGGUGUGACGCCUGCCCGGUGCCGGAAGGUUAAUUGAUGGGGUUAGCGCAAGCGAAGCUCUUGAUCGAAGCCCCGGUAAACGGCGGCCGUAACUAUAACGGUCCUAAGGUAGCGAAAUUCCUUGUCGGGUAAGUUCCGACCUGCACGAAUGGCGUAAUGAUGGCCAGGCUGUCUCCACCCGAGACUCAGUGAAAUUGAACUCGCUGUGAAGAUGCAGUGUACCCGCGGCAAGACGGAAAGACCCCGUGAACCUUUACUAUAGCUUGACACUGAACAUUGAGCCUUGAUGUGUAGGAUAGGUGGGAGGCUUAGAAGUGUGGACGCCAGUCUGCAUGGAGCCGACCUUGAAAUACCACCCUUUAAUGUUUGAUGUUCUAACGUUGACCCGUAAUCCGGGUUGCGGACAGUGUCUGGUGGGUAGUUUGACUGGGGCGGUCUCCUCCUAAAGAGUAACGGAGGAGCACGAA